AUUGAACGCUGGCGGCAGGCCUAACACAUGCAAGUCGAGCGAGCGGCGGACGGGUGAGUAAUGUAUGGGGACUGCCCGAUAGAGGGGGAUAACUACUGGAAACGGUGGCUAAUACCGCAUACUGUCGGAUCCCCCAUAUGGGCUUAGCUAGUAGGUAAGGUAAUGGCUUACCUAGGCGACGAUCCCUAGCUGGUCUGAGAGGAGGAGCAGCCACACUGGGACGGGGACACGGCCCAGACUCCUACGGAGGCAGCAGUAGGGAAUAUUUCACAAUGGCGCAAGCCUGAUGCAGCCAUGCCGCGUGUAUGAAGAAGGCCCUAGGGUUGUAAAGUACUUUCAGUCGGGAGGCGUUACCGAAAGAAGAAGCACCGGCUAACUCCGUGCCAGCAGCCGCGGUAAUUC
rnacentral:rRNA from 1 species